GCAGCGGUAGUUCAGUUGGUUAGAAUACCGGCCUGUCACGCCGGGGGUCGCGGGUUCAAGUCCCGUCCGCUGCGCCA
rnacentral:tRNA from 16 species